AGAGUUUGAUCAUGGCUCAGGAUGAACGCUAGCUACAGGCUUAACACAUGCAAGUCGAGGGGAAACGACAUCGAAAGCUUGCUUUUGAUGGGCGUCGACCGGCGCACGGGUGAGUAACGCGUAUCCAACCUGCCCAUCACUUGGGGAUAACCUUGCGAAAGUAAGACUAAUACCCAAUGAUAUCUCUAGAAGGCAUCUGAAAGAGAUUAAAGAUUUAUCGGUGAUGGGAUGGGGAUGCGUCUGAUUAGCUUGUUGGCGGGUAACGGCCACCAAAGCAACGAUCAGUAGGGGUUCUGAGACGGAAGGUCCCCCACAUUGGAACUGAGACACGGUCCAAACUCCUACGGAGGCA
rnacentral:rRNA from 1 species